ACAUCCUAAACCCACAGAGGUUUAAACAGUGGUGUAGUAGGAGCUACACGGAGGUAUACCUCCUAAACCCUACAGAGGUUUAAACAGUGGUGUAGUAGGAGCUACACGGAGGUAUACCUCCUAAACCCUACAGAGGUUUAAACAGUGGUGUAGUAGGAGCUACACGGAGGUAUACAUCCUAAACCCACAGAGGUUUAAACAGUGGGGUAGU